UUGUGGCACGCUGGGAGAGACAAGUGUGUGUCUAUUGAGAGCAGAGCACCGGCUCUUUGUUUCCAGUGCAGAAACAUCAAAUGAAGCAGGGCCUUCAAGAAGUGAUCAGGUAGACCCUGACCUUCAAACUGGCAGCACCUGAAGCAGACAGAUUGGUGCCAAAACUCAGGAUCGUGGCAUGGCGUAACCGCAACCGGGCCAGCCAGGGGAGCUGCGGGCCCAAAUGCUGGCCGAGCUCGUGACCAUGCAGUGGGACCAAGCGACGGUGUUUCGCCACCAGUGGGAACAACUGCAGGACGGGCAGCAUUAAAACCUUAUAUCAUGGGACGAAGCUCAGAGCUACUGUAGAGAAAGAUAUAAAGACCUGACUACAGCGCCUAACAUGAAAUCUAUGGAGAGACUGUACACAGAUUCUACAGAGAAUCAGCCUGGAUUGUACAACAUCUCAGGAAGAGAAAACAGGACUUUUCACACACUUUUAUUUCCAGUUGUUGUAAUUUACACACACCGCCACAACAAUUACAACAGGACGCAGUACAGACUUUUAUACAGGGGAGGCGUGGUAAGCUGAAUGAGCUGAGGUGUAUCAGCCUCCCCCGCAGGGACGCCACGAACCACGCCUGCCACACAUAAAUCUUUAUGCUUCAAUAAUGAGAAUGUGUGGAUAUAGUUGUACUGACUUUGAUUCAACAUAUCUUGUCUAAAAUGCCAAAUAAUGGUGCAGGAAUACUGACGGACUAGAAAGAGAGUUUAUUUCUCCCACUCUUCCUUAUUUUUGUCACGGUCCUGGAUCAGUGACCCAGUGCUUUGGUUUGUUUCAUCAUCAUCAUCAUCAUUAUUAUUAUUAUUAUUAUUAUUAAUAAUAAUAAUAAUAAUAAUCGUUGGUUUCAUCUUGGUUUAUUACUACCAGUUUUUUGGUUUCUGCUUUGUAUUUUGAGCUCCCUCUGUUGUGUCCAGUUUGUCUCUGUGUCUGUCGUUUGCUUCCUGUUUUACUUUGAAAGUCUGUGUCAGUGUUU